UUGCUGGGACUGCUGGCGCAGCUGUUGUGCUAAACCAUGGCAGGGAAAUGGCCCUAUUGGUGCUGCCAUGGAGGGCACAGACACGCCGUGACCCCUGGCACCUGCUGGGUUUGGAAAGCCAGCCCUGCACCCACAGCACGGCCAUGCCCCUGGCAGCGUGGGCUGCGUGGAGCUGGUUUACUCCCCUGACUCACCCCACGGCCGGAUCCAGGAUCAGGCCUGCAGCUGGCGUGAACCGGCCCAUGGAAAUUCGGUGGAGCCCUGCCAGGCAGCAGCAGCUGAAGCGCCGGCACCAGAAGCUAUUUUUUAUGCAUAAAACUAGCUAUUUUUGCAUGACCUUUGGUUUCACAGCAGCACCAGAAAAGCGUGCAGGCUGCCUUUCCCUUGCGAAAGCGCGAAUGGAAGGUAUUUUUUUUUGCCGGACGCUUGCUUCAAAGACGCGUUCAGGGCAGAUAAGUGAUAGCAUCUGUCAGGGUGCCAUUUUUGCACUGCGCAGCCAGCGUGGGAGCACUCCCUGUCCCCCUGCUCCCUGCCUGCUAAAAACAACUGAAACUAAUUACAUACCAGGAAUACCAGCGUCCCCGCAAAGCCUCUGCCGCACAGCGGCUCUCCCUCGCUCCCUUUUUUCCCUUCCGCCUGAUUCACCAGGGCUUUGGCCGAGCUCCAGGAUUUGGGAGGUGAAAAGAAGCAUUUAUCAGUGAUUUCAUAUAACAUGUGAGACGUGGCUUCCUGCCAAUUUUCUAAGGAUGCAAACAACCCACUGACAUCAUAUGCUAAAUAUAGAAGAGUUCCUGCUGUAGGUGAAUAAAUAAUGCAGAUGCAAAAGCCCAGGUCUUCAGUUACACGAUCGUUAGGAUCGGUCUGUCAGGUUCAUACAAUCGAGAGAAUAGCAUCCAGCUUCAGCACCGAGUGAUAGGGGAAGAAUGCAAAACAACUGCAGACAAUGGAUCAAAGGCAGCGGGCAGGAGAAAGAGUCCGGAGCCAUUCUCACUGGGUGGAAGGGAGACACGAGGGCAGGAAACAAGAAGACAAUGCGCCAUAAAAGCUGCCGCAAGGUGUUGGAUCAAUGACAACAUCUGCAUGAAUCCUUCCCCUCACAGCCCGGGCUACAAAAGAAGCUGUUACCAUGGAAACUGGUGCAAAAGCAUCAGGCAGAAGGGAGAAGGCUGUAAUGAAAGGUGGGAGAGGGAAUAUUUUUAGAUCGCUUAGGAGGAACGCUACCAAAUGACAUCAUCCCAUCUCGUUAUUUGCACCAGUGCUAUGUAACAUGGUGCGGCGUCUGCCCCGGGCUGUUAAAUGGAAAAAAUGUUAUUAUGCAUGCGAAUUAUAAAUACUGCGGUGAAACUCGAGCUCGGGAGUUAUUAGACAUCACUAUUCUGUAAUAAAGAAGAGCAUUUAAUACACUGUGCUGCACGGACUCACUGUACGAUACAAGAAGCAUUGUGUCUAGGAUUUUAAUGUUCCCAGAAAGUAAUUAUGACUCAUCCUUUUAUUGUUAUUAAGAAGCAAAGUGCAAAUAA